rnacentral:rRNA from 1 species
AACGUAGGAGACGAGCGUUAUCCGGAUUUACUGGGCGUAAAGAGCGUGUAGGAGGCUAAACAAGUUGGAUGUAAAAUCUCCCGGCUUAACUGGGAGGCGUCGUUCAAAACUGUAUAGCUGGAGUACUGUAGAGGUAAUCGGAACUCCGGGAGUAGCGGUGAAAUGCGUAGAUAUCCGGAAGAACACCAGAGGCGAAAGCGGAUUACUGGACAGAGACUGACACUGAGACGCGAAAGCCAGGGUAGCAAAC